rnacentral:rRNA from 1 species
UACGGGGGAGCAAGCGUUGUUCGGAUUUACUGGGCGUAAAGGGCGCGUAGGCGGCCAGCACAAGUCAGUUGUGAAAUCUCCGAGCUUAACUCGGAACGGUCAACUGAUACUGUGCGGCUAGAGUGCGGAAGGGGCAACUGGAAUUCUUGGAUGUAGCGGUGAAAUGCGUAGAUAGUCAAGAGGAACACCUGCGGCGAAGGCGGGUUGCUGGGCCG